rnacentral:rRNA from 1 species
AGCAGCCGCGGUAAUACGAAGGGACCUAGCGUAGUUCGGAAUUACUGGGCUUAAAGAGUUCGUAGGUGGUUAAAAAAGUUGGUGGUGAAAUCCCAGAGCUUAACUCUGGAACUGCCAUCAAAACUUUUUAGCUAGAGUAUGAUAGAGGAAAGCAGAAUUUCUAGUGUAGAGGUGAAAUUCGUAGAUAUUAGAAAGAAUACCAAUUGCGAAGGCAGCUUUCUGGAUCAUUACUGACACUGAGGAACGAAAGCAUGGGUAGCGAAGAGGAUUAGAUACCCUCGUAGUCCAUGCCGUAAACGAUGUGUGUUAGACGUUGGAAAUUUAUUUUCAGUGUCGCAGCGAAAGCAAUAAACACACCGCCUGGGGAGUACGACCGCAAGGUUAAAACUCAAAUGAAUUGACGGGGACCCGCACAAGUAGUGGAGCAUGUGGUUUAAUUCGAAGAUACGCGCAGAACCUUACCAACACUUGACAUGUUCGUCGCGACUUUAAGAGAUUAAAGUUUUCGGUUCGGCCGGACGAAACACAGGUGCUGCAUGGCUGUCGUCAGCUCGUGUCGUGAGAUGUUGGGUUAAGUCCCGCAACGAGCGCAACCCUUACUUUUAGUUGCCAUCAUUUAGUUGGGCACUCUGAAAGAACUGCCAGUGAUAAGCUGGAGGAAGGUGGGGAUGACGUCAAGUCCUCAUGGCCCUUACGUGUUGGGCUACACACGUGCUACAAUGGCAUUUACAAUAGGAAGCAAGACGGCGACGUUAAGCAAAUCCUAAAAAAAUGCCUCAGUUCGGAUUGUACUCUGCAACUCGAGUACAUGAAGCUGGAAUUACUAGUAAUCGCGGAUCAGCGCGCCGCGGUGAAUACGUUCCCGGGUCUUGUACACACCGCCCGUCACACCAUGGGAGUUGGUUCUACCUUAAGGCAAAGGUUAAAAACUUUGACCACGGUAUAGUCAGCGACUGGGGUGAAGUCGUAACAAGGUAGCCG